UAGGGAAUAUUAGAAAUGGACGAAAGUCUGAUCUAGCAACACCGCGUGUGCGAAGAAGGCCUUCGGGUCGUAAAGCACCUUUUGGAAGGAAUAGGAAGGAAUGUACUUCCAGAAUAAGUCUCGGCUAACUACGUGCCAGCAGCCGCGGUAACACGUAGGAGGCACACGUUAUCCGGAUUUACUGGGCGUAAAGCGCGUGUAGGUGGUACUGUAAGUAGGGCGUGAAAGCUCCUGGCUCAACUGGGAGAGGCCGUCCUAAACUACAGAACUAGAGGAUGGUAGAGGGAGGUGGAAUUCCAGGUGUAGCGGUGGAAUGCGCAGAUAUCUGGAGGAACACCGGUGGCGAAGGCGGCCUCCUGGACCAUUCCUGACACUCAGACGCGAAAGCGAGGGUAGCAAACGG
rnacentral:rRNA from 1 species